AUUGAACGCUGGCGGCAGGCCUAACACAUGCAAGUCGAACGAGUGGCGGACGGGUGAGUAAUGUCUGGGAAACUGCCCGUCGGAGGGGGAUCACUACUGGAAACGGUAGCUAAUACCGCAUACCAUCGGAUGUGCCCAGGUGGAAUUAGCUAGUAGGUGGGGUAAUGGCUCACCUAGGCGACGAUCCCUAGCUGGUCUGAGAGGGUGACCAGCAACACUGGAACUGAGACACGGUCCAGACUCCUACGGGAGGCAGCAGUGGGGAAUAUUGCACAAGGGGCGAAAGCCUGAUGGAGCCAUGCCGCGUGAAUGAAGAAGGCCGUCGGGUCGUAAAGUACUUUCAGCGAGGAAGCGUUACUCGCAGAGGAAGCACGGGCUAACUCCGUGCCAGCAGCCGCGGUAAUUC
rnacentral:rRNA from 1 species